rnacentral:lncRNA from 1 species
CAACUAGAUCAAAACUGUGUAGAUCUGCCCAAAACCAUGAGAUUGUGUUUUUCUCUCCUUUUCUCUCUUUUUCUCUUUUCAAGUGGCUGAACACUCUCUCUCAAAAUUUGGACAAUAAAAGUCAUAUUUAUAUGAUUCAUACUAGGCUUAAGUAUGGGCCAUAUCCACAAAUAGACUUCAACCAAAAUAAAUUAAACUUUGAAUUUUUCUCUACAUAGGAAGGAAACUGAAAAGCCCAACACAUCUCCAG